UACGGGGGGAGCAAACGUUGUUCGGAUUUACUGGGCGUAAAGGGCGCGUAGGCGGCCACCGCAAGUCGACUGUGAAAUCUCCGGGCUUAACCCGGAAAGGUCAGCCGAUACUGCGGGGCUAGAGUGCAGAAGGGGCAACUGGAAUUCUCGGUGUAGCGGUGAAAUGCGUAGAUAUCGAGAGGAACACCUGCGGCGAAGGCGGGUUGCUGGGCUGACACUGACGCUGAUGCGCGAAAGCUAGGGGAGCGAACGGG
rnacentral:rRNA from 1 species